rnacentral:rRNA from 1 species
UACGUAGGGGGCAAGCAUUGUCCGGAUUUAUUGGGCGUAAAGAGCGUGUAGGCGGCCAGGUAGGUCAGCUGUGAAAACUCGAGGCUCAACCUCGAGACGUCGGCGGAAACCAUCUGGCUAGAGUCCGGAAGAGGAGAGUGGAAUUCCUGGUGUAGCGGUGAAAUGCGCAGAUAUCAGGAAGAACACCCGUGGCGAAGGCGGCUCUCUGGGACGGUACUGACGCUGAGACGCGAAAGCGUGGGGAGCGAACAGG